GUGCUAGCUGUGGUAGGACAUAUACUAAAAUUGGAGGGAUACAGAGACAUUAGCAUUGCCCCUGCACAAGGAAGACACAAAAAUUCAUGAAGCUUUCCACAUUUUA
ensembl:snRNA U6 U6 spliceosomal RNA